rnacentral:sRNA from 1 species
AGCAGCCGCGGUAAUUCCGGCUCCAAUAGCGUAUAUUAAAGUUGUUGCAGUUAAAAAGCUCGUAGUUGAAUUUCGGGAUCAAUUUACUGGUCGUGCUAUUGUACGUACUGGUUUUAUUGAUUCCUCUCUUCUGAAGAACUAUGAUGUCAUUAAUUUGGUGUCAUAGGGAAUCAGGACUGUUACUUUGAAAAAUUAGAGUGUUUAAAGCAGGCUCACGCUUGAAUACAUUAGCAUGGAAUAACGAAAUAGGACGUUUGAUUCUAUUUUGUUGGUUUCUAGGAUCGACGUAAUGAUUAAUAGGGAUAGUUGGGGGCAUUAGUAUUCAAUUGUCAGAGGUGAAAUUCUUGGAUUUAUUGAAGACUAACUACUGCGAAAGCAUUUGCCAAGGAUGUU